UACGAAGGGGGCUAGCGUUGUUCGGAUUUACUGGGCGUAAAGCGCACGUAGGCGGAUCGUUAAGUCAGGGGUGAAAUCCUGGAGCUCAACUCCAGAACUGCCUUUGAUACUGGCGAUCUUGAGUCCGGAAGAGGUGAGUGGAACUCCUAGUGUAGAGGUGGAAUUCGUAGAUAUUAGGAAGAACACCAGUGGCGAAGGCGGCUCACUGGUCCGGUACUGACGCUGAGGUGCGAAAGCGUGGGGAGCAAACAGG
rnacentral:rRNA from 1 species